rnacentral:rRNA from 1 species
AGAGUUUGAUCCUGGCUCAGAACGAACGCUGGCGGCAGGCCUAAAACAUGCAAGUUGAACGGCUGUAGCAAUACAGCAGUAGCGCACGGGUGAGUAAUAUAUGGGAACAUGUCUUUUGGUGGGGAAUAUUCUUUGGAAACGAAGAGCAAUACCGCAUAAGCCCUACGGGGGAAAGAUUUAUCGCCGAUUGAGUGGCCCAUAUUGGAUUAGCUAGUUGGUUGGGUAACGGCUGACCAAGGCGACGAUCCAUAGCUGAUCUGAGAGGAUGAUCAGCCACACUGGGACUGAGACGCGGCCCAGACUCCUACGGGAGGCAGCAGUUAGGAAUAUUGGACAAUGGGGGCAACCCUGAUCCAGCCAUGCCGCGUGAGUGUUAAGGCCUUCGGGUUGUAAAGCUCUUUUGUAUGGGAAAAUGAUGAUGGUACCAUAAGAAUAAGCACCGGCUAACUUCGUGCCAGCAGCCGCGGUAAUACGAAGGGUGCAAGCGUUGUUCGGAAUUACUGGGCGUAAAGGGCGCGUAGGCGGAUAAGUUAGUCAGGAGUGAAAUCCCGAGGCUCAACCUCGGAACUGCUUUUGAAACGGCUUAUCUUGAGUAUGACAGGGGAUGAUGGAAUACCCAGUGUAGAGGUGAAAUUCGUAGAUAUUGGGUAGAACACCAGAGGCGAAGGCGGUCAUCUGGGUCAUUACUGACGCUGANGCGCGAAAGCGUGGGGAUCAAACAGGAUUAGAUACCCUGGUAGUCCACGCUGUAAACGAUGAAUGCUAGGGGUCGGGAUGUCAAGUCUCGGUCCCGCCGCUAACGCAUUAAGCAUUCCGCCUGGGGAGUACGGUCGCAAGAUUAAAACUCAAAGGAAUUGACGGGGGCCCGCACAAGCAGUGGAGUAUGUGGUUUAAUUCGACGCUACGCGCAGAACCUUACCACCCUUUGACAUGGGGGUCGCGGUCCGAUGAAAGUUGGACCUUCAUUUAGUUGGACCCCACACAGGUGCUGCAUGGCUGUCGUCAGCUCGUGUCGUGAGAUGUUGGGUUAAGUCCCGCAACGAGCGCAACCCUCUUCUUUAGUUGCUACCAUUUAGUUGAGCACUCUAAAGAUACUGCCGGUGUAAGCCGGAGGAAGGUGGGGAUGACGUCAAGUCCUCAUGGCCCUUACAGGGUGGGCUACACACGUACUACAAUGGCGAUGACAGAGGGAAGCAAGUGUGCGAACACGAGCGGAUCCCAAAAAGUCGCCUCAGUUCGGACUGUUCUCUGCAACUCGAGAACACGAAGUUGGAAUUGCUAGUAAUCGCGAAUCAGCAGGUCGCGGUGAAUACGUUCCCGGGCCUUGUACACACCGCCCGUCACACCAUGGAAGUUGGUUUUACCUGAAGGCGUUGCGCUAACCGCAAGGAGGCAGGCGACCACGGUAAGAUCAGUAACUGGGGUGAAGUCGUAACAAGGUAGCC